CCUACGGGAGGCAGCAGUGGGGAAUAUUGGGCAAUGGAGGAAACUCUGACCCAGCGACGCCGCGUGCGGGAUGAAGGCCUUCGGGUUGUAAACCGCUUUCAGCAGGGAAUAAGCGCAAGUGAAGGUACCUGCAGAAGAAGCACCGGCUAACUAUGUGCCAGCAGCCGCGGUAAUACAUAGGGUGCAAGCGUUGUCCGGAAUUAUUGGGCGUAAAGAGCUCGUAGGUGGUUUGUUACGUCGGUUGUGAAAUUCAGGGGCUCAACCCCUGACUUGCAGCCGAUACGGGCAAGCUAGAGUUUGGUAGGGGAGACUGGAAUUCCUGGUGUAGCGGUGGAAUGCGCAGAUAUCAGGAGGAACACCGAUGGCGAAGGCAGGUCUCUGGGCCAAUACUGACACUGAGGAGCGAAAGCGUGGGGAGCGAACAGGAUUAGAUACCCUGGUAGUCCACGCCGUAAACGGUGGGCGCUAGUUGUGCGAACCUUCCACGGUUUGUGCGACGCAGCUAACGCAUUAAGCGCCCCGCCUGGGGAGUACGAUCGCAAGNUUAAACUUAAAGGAAUUGACGG
rnacentral:rRNA from 1 species